rnacentral:rRNA from 1 species
AAUGAACGCUGGCGGUAGGCCUAACACAUGCAAGUCGAACGGCAGCACAAUAAGAACUUGCUCCUACUGGUGGCGAGUGGCGGGCGGGUGAGGAAUACAUCGGCAUCUACUUUUUCUUGGCGCAUAACGUAGGCAAACUUACGCUAAUACCUCAUACGACCUACGGAUUAAAUCAGAGGAUCUUCGGACCUUUCGCGAUUGAAUUAGCCGAUGUCGGAUUAGCUAGUUGGCGGGGUAAAGGCCCACCAAGGCGACGAUCCGUAGCUGGUCUGAGAGGAUGAUCAGCCACACUGUAACUGAGACACGGUCCAGACUCCUACGGGAGGCAGCAGUGGGGAAUAUUGGACAAUGGGCGCAAGCCUGAUCGAGCCAUACCGCGUGGGUGAAGAAGUCCUUCGGGUCGUAAAGCCCUUUUAUUGGGAAAGAACAGCUGCAGGUUUAACAGCCGCUGUCUUGACGGUACCCAAAGAAUAAGCCACGGCUAACUUCGUG